CUCCAUCGGGCCUGCUGACUCUGGAGAGUAUUACUGUACAGCUGAGAACAGGCUGGGAACAUCAACACCUACAAACAUUUCUGUUCAUGUGAAAUAUGCUCCAAAGCCUCCCUCUGUGUCAGUGCGUCCCUCUGGUGAAAUCAAGGAGGGCACUUCAGUGACUCUGACCUGUAGCAGUGAAGCUAACCCAGCAGCUACGUAUGUCUGGUAUAAGACACAUGGAAGGACACCUCUCAGUAAAGAACCACAGCUUGUCUUCAGAUCCAUCCAGCCCUCUGACUCUGGACAGUAUUACUGUAUAGCUGCUAAUACAGUGGGGACGACAUCUGAAUAUAUUUCUAUUAAUGUGAAUUAUGCUCCAAAGUUUCUGUCAGUGAUGGUGAGCCCUCCUAAUGAAUUCAGGGAGGGUGGUUCGGUGACUCUGACCUGUAGCAGUGAUGCUAACCCAGCAGCUCAAUACUCCUGGUACAAGAAGAAUGGUCAAAAACCUCUCAGU